rnacentral:rRNA from 1 species
UACGGAGGGUGCAAGCGUUAAUCGGAAUUACUGGGCGUAAAGCGUGCGCAGGCUGUUUUGUAAGUCAGAUGUGAAAUCCCUGGGCUCAACCUAGGAACUGCGUUUGAAACUACAAGGCUAGAGUGUAGCAGAGGGGGGGUAGAAUUCCACGUGUAGCAGUGAAAUGCGUAGAGAUGUGGAGGAAUACCAAUGGCGAAGGCAGCCCCCUGGGUUAACACUGACGCUCAUGCACGAAAGCGUGGGGAGCAAACAGG